AUUGAACGCUGGCGGCAGGCCUAACACAUGCAAGUCGAACGAGUGGCGGACGGGUGAGUAAUGUCUGGGAAACUGCCUGAUGGAGGGGGAUAACUACUGGAAACGGUAGCUAAUACCGCAUACCAUCGGAUGUGCCCAGAUGGGAUUAGCUAGUAGGUGGGGUAAAGGCUCACCUAGGCGACGAUCCCUAGCUGGUCUGAGAGGAGGACCAGCCACACGGGAACUGAGAAACGGUCCAGACCCCGAAGUGAGGCAGCAGUGGGGAAUAUUGCACAAUGGGCGCAAGGCGGAUGCAGCCAGGCCGGGUGUAUGAAGAAGGCCUGCGGGUUGGAAAGUACUUUCAGCGGGGAGGCGUUACCCGCAGAAGAAGCACCGGCUAACUCCGUGCCAGCGGCCGCGGUAAUA
rnacentral:rRNA from 1 species